ensembl:lncRNA
UUUUUUCUUUUUUUUUUUUUGCUGGUAGCAAGACACAUCCCACUCUACAAGUUCCUGUGUAGGACCCUCCAACUCCAUGAUUUGUCCAGCAGACAGAGUGUGUGCAUCUUCACUUAGAGGCCAACGUCAAUGGAGACUGAGGUUCUGGGGUUGGGACACUGACACCACAGACAUAGAUCUAGAAAUUAGGUGUUUUCUAAGGGGGUGUUUUUCAUUCCUCUGAUUCUUUGGUACUGUGUUAAAUUCAAGGCAAGCAUUUUCUGAGUAUCUGCAGCCUUGCUCACUGUGGCUGGAAACAAGACCAUUCGGUAAGUGAGCCAGUGGACGAACAGAGACCAGAAGGACCCACGUCCAGGAGCCUGAGUACUAGACGACGCAUCUCCACUGACCAGCUUUGCUCUCUUAGGCCAAGCUCGUCUUUUGUCCCAGACCUUGCUUCUUCAUCCACAAAACAGAGAAAAUAAUGAUUCUUUCUUGAGUGCUACACAGCAAAUUCUGGAUGUGCAUUGUCCCCAGUGCUCCAUCCACCACCCCUAUUUUUACAGAUGAAAAAAAUGAAGUUCAGUGAUUGAAAUGACUCGCCCAACACCACUCAGCAGAAUGGGAUUUGACUCUAGUUCCAAUCUGUUGGGGCAUCCAUCUUGAAAAAACUUUGAGCACAUUUUCAUGCCCCUGAAAAAGAAAUGCUACCUCAUUUAGCAGUCCCAGCUUUCUCAGCCCUAGGCAACCACUCAUCUACUUUCUGUCUCUAUGGAUUUGUCUGUUCUGGACAUUGUGUUUAAAUGGAAUCAUAUAGUAUGACUUUGGACUAGCUUUUUUCACUUAGCAUAUGUCUGCAAGCUCUAUCCAUAUUGUAGCAUGAUGUUGCAGCAUGAUUUCGUAGCAUGUACCAGAAUUUCAUUUUUAAUAUCAAAUAAUAUUUCAUUGUAUGGAUAUGACACAUUUUAUUUAUUCACUCCUAGACAUUUGGUUUGCCUCACCCUUUAUGGCUAUUAUGAAUUAUGUAUCAUUUGUUCUUACUGAUACGGAAUGUGCAAACUAUAAAAUGUACAGAUUUUCAGUGCUAGUUUUUAUGGUCUGAAGAAGGUCCCCGGUGGAACUGCCACUGCUGUGAAGAUAAAGGACAUUUUCACCAGCCUACAAAGCCCAUCCUAGCCUCCCCCACCACCUAGGAGCAACCCCUGUUCUGAUCUCUGUCUCCGUAGUUUAGCUUUGCCUGUCUCAAAAUUUCAUGGAAAUGGAAUUAGAUAUGUAUGUUCUCUUUCAUGUCUGGCUUUGUUUUUUUGCCACCCCUGCAUCAUGUGGAAGUUCCAGAGCCAGAGAUCAAACCUGAACCACACUAGUGACUCAAGCUAUAGCAGUGACAACACCGGGUCCUUAACCACUAGCCACCAAGGAACUCCUAUAUCUGGCUUCUUAAACUUGACAUAACAACACAGAAUCAUCCUGUUGCUCUGUGUAUCUAUCAUUGCUCUCAUCUGGGUUUUUUUUUUAAGAAAACACAUAUUUGAACAGGUGAAACUGAGUGACAAAGGACAUUAGGGGAGUGGGGACACACAGCAGAGGCCCAGAAGGGCAGGCAGAGCUGGGUGGUUCUGGCUGACCUCCAGGGGAGACUCGCAGGGGCCCAGGAGUGUGCCCAGAAUCUAGGAUGAGCAAGAGGAGUGUUGUGACAAUGGCAAGGACUACAGAAGGGGGCUGCCCUUCCUGGAGCCUUCAUCCUUUAUGUCAGCUGAUCUUCCCAACAGCCCCAGAAGGCUGGUGGUCAGGCCCUCUCUCCAGACCUACUCGGCGCCCCCUGCAGAUUCUCAUGCCACUGCUUCAGUUUCCCCUCUGGACCCUGUCUGACCAGUCCUUUUACCUCUUAAACCCUUAGCUCUGGCAAGAGGCAGAGCAGACUUGAGCACAGCACCCUCUCCAAUCCCUAAAGCCUUUUUUCAGAGAAGCGCCGCCUCCUUUGAAGCCCUGGGCCUGGCAGCUGCCUCCCCCAGGUUGCUUCUCUGCACCCAAGCUGCUGACACCUAUGCCCUCCUCCUCACAGCAGGCAGUGUGCCCGCAGCUCAGCCUGGCCAGCCGGGAGGGGUGUUGAAACCUGUUUAUGAUUUCACAUAAUUAACGCCUGCCUCUGGAUGUUGCCGCAGGAGCACGCAGCUGGGUGAGGGAGUUGCGGCAGCCUAGGGCACAGGGGCGAGACCCCGGCCCCAGAGAGUGACUGUCUUUCAGGCCCCCUGCAGGGUAGAGUCCAGCCUGACCUCCACGGUCCUGCCACCCUGUCAAGGGCCAACCUGACCAGGACAAAAUGGCCAGAGGGGCUUAGGAGGCAAAAAGCUGAGUCCUCUUCCCGAGGACUGUUAGGUGGGAGGGUUUGCAAUCUCAGUGCCCUGGACGGGGCCGGGUGGGCAGUGGGGAGAUCUGGGUCCCAGCCCCCACCCCUGACCGUCAUGCAGGAGGACCUGGAACCAUCCGUCCUCUGCCGACUGGUCUUCAGGCCGCCCUGUCCAACAUGCUGGGCUCUUGUGAGGCUGGAAGGAAAUAACACACAGGGAGCUCUUUGGGAAAACAUUAACAACCUCACUGAUGGUACCUAAGGGUUGGCCUUUCGGCCCUGGUGUCCUUACUCAUGUGAGCUGUCAUCCUUUGGAGGUAGGAACGGGAAGGCAGAGGGGGCUGCUGUUAACAGAGUGGCCUCCCUAAGUCAGCUAUCUCUCUCUGGCCCUCACUGGCCCUCCUGGAGGGAGCCUGAGGUACGCAAAGCAUUAUUACCCCAUUUCACAGAGGAGAAGACGGAGGCUCGGAGACGUUUGCGUGGAUCUGAGACAGACCUGAGCAUACAGUUGGUGCUCAGGAUUUGCUGAUUGACUUGUAGACUGUAUUGCAUGACAGUGCUAAUAUCAGCUCAAGUGAACGCUGACGGCAACUGGCAGAGUUGAUGUAAAGUAUGUUUCCAGCGAUGCUAUUUAGAAUUAUACCAGUUAUGCUCUUUAAUUUUCAUUGAUUAUUGAGUUGUCUUCUUAGGGUUUAUUGUUUCCCAGAGAAAUAAAUGAGUAUCGUAAAAAAAAUUUUUUUCAGCUCAUUUCGACAUCAGCCCCCAUCCCCACCCUGGUGCCCCUCAGCAGCCCCUCAUCCCGUGCACAGCAGCCCUGUGCUUGGAGGGGUGUCCCCCUGCCCUGGGGCUGGGGCCUGGGAGAGCUGGACAAGGACAGAGCUGAAGACAGAUUCCAAGUCCUGCUUGUCCUACAUGGUGGCGAGAUUGGUCCUUCAAGGGACCUAUCUAUUGUCCCCUCCCAAGGUCUCUCGGCCACCCGGAAUCUUGUGCCCUUCGUGGGCUCUGCAGUGUGUGGGACCACUGCUGCCCAGGGUGACACCCAGGCGUGCACCUCAUCUUCCCAGGAAGGCGGAUGUCCCAGCAGAAUGAGAAGCAGCCACAGAAGAUCAGAAUGCCCCUCUCCCACCCCUCCCAAGAUGACUCUGUCCCCGUGACCCAGUGUGACCAGUCCAGCCACAUCAGGACAUGUGUCCCUCAGGGAGCCUAAGGUCGGGGGUGGGGGAAGCACACAGCCAGGAGAAGAGCUGUGUGGCCAAGUCCCCCUUACUCGCUCAUUCCUUGCCACGAUCACACAAGGUCUAGGAGAGGCCCUGUGCUGGGCACUGCCGUCCCCGAGACAAAAACACCAAGACCCUCCAUUAGGGACCUCCAUGCAGUUCAGGAAAGACCAGAAAACCACAGUGAGCAGCUCAACUACGGUGGGGAGCAUGUGGGGCAUUUGCACAGAACUGGCUGCAACAGGAACCUGGGCCACCUACCUUAGUGGCUCCUGCUGGAAGGCUUUUGGGCAACCGUGUAGCAGCUGCUAUAAGCAAGGCUGGAACCUCAGAGGCACCAGCAGAGAGGGUGGAGGCAGGAGUGGGGGUCACAGUGGGACCCAGGCCUUCGGUCUCGGCCCCUGCCAGCAGAUGUGCAUUAAAUGCUGGCUGUCACUAUAGCCAUCCUGGCAUCACCAUUCGCAUCAGGCCACCACCAACCACUAUUUCCACUCUGCCGUGGUCUUCCCCUUUCCCAUCUGUAAAAUAAGGGUUUGGAUGCCAAGAUCUCACAAGACUUUUCCAGCCCUGGUUUUCUAGGUUCAAUACUCGUGUAAUCCUAAAAGCCCUGGCGCUAGGGAUUCCACAGGCCCCUGAGUUCAGGUCCAGCUUCACCCCUUCCUGGCUGCCUAACUUCAGACAAGGUAUUUAAGCCUCUGAACCUCAGCCUCCCCAUCUGCAAAAUGGGAUCAAACCAGUACUCUCCUUGGACAGGAUUUUUGUGAGUGAGGAUUAAAUAAGAAAGUGUUAUUAAACUCUACUUAAAAGAGACACAUGCACCCGCAUGUUCAUUGCAGCACUAUUCACAAUAGCCAAGACAUGGAAACAACCCAAAUGUCCAUCGACAGAUGAUUGGAUUUGGAAGAUGUGGUAUAUAUACACAAUGGAAUACUACUCAGCCAUAAAAAAGAAUGACAUAAUGCCAUUUGCAGCAACAUGGAUGGAACUAGAGAAUCUCAUACUGAGUGAAAUGAGCCAGAAAGACAAAGACAAAUACCAUAUGAUAUCACUUAUAACUGGAAUCUAAUAUCCAGCACAAAUGAACAUCUCCUCAGAAAAGAAAAUCAUGGACUUGGAGAAGAGACUUGUGGUUGCCUGAUGGGAGGGGGAGGGAGUGGGAGGGAUCGGGAGCUUGGGCUUAUCAGACACAACUUAGAAUAGAUUUACAAGGAGAUCCUGCUGAAUAGCAUUGAGAACUUUGUCUAGAUCCUUAUGUUGCAACAGAAGAAAGGGUGGGGAAAAAAUGUAAUUGUAAUGCAUACAUGUAAGGAUAACUUGAUCCCCUUGCUGUACAGGGGGAAAAAAAAAAAAAAAAAAAAAAAGGAAGUGUUAUUAAAAGACCCAGCACAAUAGAUGGGUCUCCUCUCCUUUGUGCUCUCUCUCUUUCUCUCUUCUUUUCCUUUUUUGGCUCAGUAAUUUUCCCCCAGAAGGACAAGCUCUAUUCUGGGGGAGAUUCAGGGAGGAUAGCAAGCAAGUCCUCUUCUCCCAGCUCUCCCGUUGCACUCAGAGGAUUUGCAGAACUCGAGCGAUGAGGCCUGGGGGGCAGGGAGUCAGAGGGUCAGGCUUCAGACAUGGGGGAGGGACUCGAAGGUGAUAACCACGGUGAAAAGAAUGCUCGCCUCACAGCCAGGGUCUCAGGCCCUGGACCCCGUGCUCUGCCCGCUCUUUAAUCCUGACAGCAGCCUGCAGAAGAAGGCUGUCUGCUCCUUCUCUUAAAGAGAGAGGGAGUUCCCAAGAGGGACCCGAACCUUUCUUGCUGCCGGGGGCCUCAGGAACGCCCAAGAGCAAACCGGUGGAGAGGCUGUUUCCGGACAAUAGCCUAUUAACACUCAUUACCCAUAAAACGGGUAGUUUUCAAAUAGCCAGAUAAUUGAGGCCAUUGGGUGGAAGGGGCCUGGAAUUACCUGAUUAACUGCCUCACUUCUGGGCCUCACGUGUUCAGACACAGCCUAAGAGAAGCUGUUGGCGCUUUGAAGUCUUAUUGCACUUUCCCUGUCUUUCCUUUUCCAGUCUGAGCAUCCAAGCCCGCUUCCUGCUUCGUGCAAGAGGGUGCACCCCCCCAUCCGUCAACGCGGGACAGCCAGAAACUUUUAUUUUUAAUCCUCAUUUUAAAAAGCAGCCCGUUUGGCCUUUUCUCUGCUUUUAUCUAGAUCCAAGAACAGCAGAUUC